rnacentral:rRNA from 1 species
UUCCUGGGUUUAAGGGUGCGUAGGCGGUUUUAUAAGUCAGUGGUGAAAUCAGCGGGCUUAACCUGUUAACUGCCAUUGAUACUGUAGGACUUGAAUAAGAGAGAGGUAGGCGGAAUGUUGCAUGUAGCGGUGAAAUGCUUAGAUAUGCUACGGAACACCGAUUGCGAAGGCAGCUUACUAUUUCUUGAUUGACGCUGAGGCACGAAAGCGUGGGUAGCGAACAGGAUUAGAUACCCUGGUAGUCCACGCCCUAAACGAUGAUUACUCGACAUUGGCGAUAUUACAGUUCAGUGUCUGAGCGAAAGCGUUAAGUAAUCCACCUGGGGAGUACGCCCGCAAGGGUGAAACUCAAAGGAAUUGACGGGGGUCCGCACAAGCGGAGGAGCAUGUGGUUUAAUUCGAUGAUACGCGAGGAACCUUACCUGGGCUAGAAUGCGCGUGAAUGUUUCAGAAACGAGACAGGCUCAGCAAUGACACAAAGCAAGGUGCUGCAUGGCUGUCGUCAGCUCGUGCCGUGAGGUGUUGGGUUAAGUCCCGCAACGAGCGCAACCCUCAUCAUUAGUUGCCAACGGGUAGAGCCGGGGACUCUAGUGAAACUGCCUGCGUAAGCAGCGAGGAAGGGGGGGACGACGUCAAGUCAUCAUGGCCUUUAUGCCCAGGGCUACACACGUGCUACAAUGGUCGGUACAGAGGGUUGCCAAACAGUGAUGUUGAGCUAAUCUCAAAAAGCCGAUCUCAGUUCGGAUUGGAGUCUGCAACUCGACUCCAUGAAGUCGGAUUCGCUAGUAAUCGCAGAUCAGCCAUGCUGCGGUGAAUACGUUCCCGGACC